AUUGAACGCUGGCGGCAUGCCUUACACAUGCAAGUCGAACGGCAGCACGGGUGCUUGCACCUGGUGGCGAGUGGCGAACGGGUGAGUAAUACAUCGGAACGUACCUUAUCGUGGGGGAUAACGCAGCGAAAGCUGUGCUAAUACCGCAUACGCCCUGAGGGGGAAAGCGGGGGAUCGAAAGACCUCGCGCGAUUAGAGCGGCCGAUGCCUGAUUAGCUUGUUGGUGGGGUAAAAGCCCACCAAGGCGACGAUCAGUAGCUGGUCUGAGAGGACGAUCCGCCACACUGGGACUGGGACGCGGCGCAGACUCCUACGGGAGGCAGCAGUGGGGAAUUUUGGACAAUGGGCGCAACCCUGAUCCAGCAAUGCCGCGUGAGUGAAGAAGGCCUUCGGGUUGUAAAGCUCGUUUGUCAGAGAAGAAACACCGGCUCUAACACAGGCCGGGAAUGACGGUACCUGAAGAAUAAGCACCGGCUAACUACGUGCCAGCCGCCGCCGUAA
rnacentral:rRNA from 1 species